GGGAUAACAUUUGGAAACAGAUGCUAAUACCGAAUAAAACUUAGUAUCGCAUGAUAUCAAGUUAAAAGGCGCUACGGCGUCACCUAGAGAUGGAUCCGCGGUGCAUUAGUUAGUUGGUGGGGUAAAGGCUUACCAAGACAAUGAUGCAUAGCCGAGUUGAGAGACUGAUCGG
rnacentral:rRNA from 1 species